AUUGAACGCUGGCGGCAUGCUUUACACAUGCAAGUCGAACGGUAACAGGCCGCAAGGUGCUGACGAGUGGCGAACGGGUGAGUAAUGCAUCGGAACGUGCCCAGUCGGGGGGGAUAACGCAGCGAAAGCUGCGCUAAUACCGCAUACGAUCUAUGGAUGAAAGCGGGGGACCGUAAGGCCUCGCGCGAUUGGAGCGGCCGAUGUCAGAUUAGGCAGUUGGUGGGGUAAAGGCUCACCAAGCCGACGAUCUGUAGCUGGUCUGAGAGGACGACCAGCCACACGGGGACUGAGACACGGCCCAGACUCCUACGGGAGGCAGCAGUGGGGAAUUUUGGACAAUGGGGGCAACCCUGAUCCAGCAAUGCCGCGUGCAGGAAGAAGGCCUUCGGGUUGUAAACUGCUUUUGUACGGAACGAAACGGCUCUGGUUAAUACCUGGGGCUAAUGACGGUACCGUAAGAAUAAGCACCGGCUAACUACGUGCCAGCCGCCGCCGUAACAC
rnacentral:rRNA from 1 species